ACACAAACAGGUGGAACUACAGCUUCAAUCACUGCAGUCAAGACAAAUCUUCAGCAGACCUUAAAGCGCCUUCCCAAAAUGAUGAUAAAGAUCUGCGUCCUACUUCUUCUGUGUGUUGGCUCUGGCAACGUACAGGCCAUCACAACAGCUGCCCCAGCUAUAACCACAACUGCACCCGCAGUAACCACAGCAGCCCCAGCAGUUACCACAGCUGCCCCAGCAGUAACUACAGCGGCCCCAGGAGUAACGACAGCAACCCCAGCAUCAACCACAGCUGCCCCAGGAGUAACAACAGCUGCCCCUGCAUCAACCACAGCUGCCCCAGGAGUAACGACAGCAACCCCAGCAGUAACGACA